rnacentral:lncRNA from 1 species
AGACAAGAGAUGUUACUAUUGUAAGAAGUUAGGUCAUGUUAAGGUAGAUUGUUACAAACUGCGAAAUAAAAGGGUUGUUGGGAGCAAUGAGAAAGAUUUAGUUGGUGCGAAUUUAGCCGAUGAAAAGAGUGAUGAUUUCUUGUUGGUGUCAACAAGCAAAAGCUCCGAGCUUAAGUCCAAGUGGAUCCUCGAUUUGGGGUGUUGUUUCCACAUGUCUCCC